rnacentral:rRNA from 1 species
AUUGAACGCUGGCGGCAUGCUUUACACAUGCAAGUCGAACGGUAACAGGCCGCAAGGUGCUGACGAGUGGCGAACGGGUGAGUAAUGCAUCGGAACGUGCCCAGUCGUGGGGGAUAACGCAGCGAACGCUGUGCUAAUACCGCAUACGAUCUAUGGAUGACAGCGGGGGACCGUAAGGCCUCGCGCGAUUGGAGCGGCCGGUGGCAGAUUAGGUAGUUGGUGGGGUAAAGGCCCACCAAGCCAACGAUAUGUAGCUGGUCUGAGAGGACGACCAGCAACACUGGGACGGAGACACGGUCCAGACUCCUACGGGAGGCAGCAGUGGGGAAUUUUGGACAAUGGGGGCAAGCCUGAUCCAGCAAUGCCGCGUGCAGGAAGAAGGCCUUCGGGUUGUAAACUGCUUUUGUACGGAACGAAACGGUCUGGGUUAAUACCCUGGGCUAAUGACGGUACCGUAAGAAUAAGCACCGGCUAACUACGUGCCAGCCGCCGCCGUAAUAC